UCUCUCCUCCUCCUCACCUCCAUAAUUUCCAGUCACACCAAACUCUCUCUCUCUCUCUCUCUCUCUCUCUGUUUUGUGGGUAUGGAAGAAGAACCUCAGCCUGUUCAGACCAACGGCCAGGGAGGAGGCGGGGACGAGUUCUACGAGGAGAUCGAGGCCCCCAAGUUCGUAGACUUCACCACACCGGAUCACUUCUGUCCCGACGACCGUUAUUGGUUCUGCAUGCGCGUCGGGUGUGAUCAAAAGCAUUAAGAAGAAAUAGACACUGAAGCAAUAUACAAGAACUUUGUUCUUAGGUUAUGGCAGCAAGAAGUCCGAAUGUUAGACUUCGAAAAGCACCGAACAGAAAGUCGCCAAGUUUGAAAUGCCCACUUACAGCUCCUGCAAAAUCUUCAAAGCCUAGAGUUUCAAGGUUGGCCCUGAUUUCUUCAAUCUCUCAUAAGAUAGUUGAUGCCAAAGAUAAGGCCAAACCUUUCCCUUCUAAGAUCACUGCAACAAUCCCAAAUGUUAAAGCAAAGCAACCAUCUACUGUAGCCAAAGCUCUUACUACUCCAAGGAUCAGAAAACCCAUCUCAAAUCCAGAUACAUUUCGAAGUGUUAGGAACCCCAAACCCAAAAAUGUUGCGGUGCCAAAGAAUAAGGUCAUGGCAAAAGCUUUGGUCUUUACAUGUAAAAUUUUAUAUUUACAUGUAACUGAUGGAGAUUUCAAUUGAUACAGACAAGUGAGGGAGGCACAGUUGACAUCCUUGAAACAAGAAAUAAAGAUGGAAUAGCUUUUAAAUCAAUAGCUUCAAUUCCUGGUGGAAAUCAUAGCCGACCUAAGAUCUGAGUUGAAGCAAGCAAGGGUUGAAUUGGAGAGGGUGAAAAGCAACCAAGUGAAGCCUUACAUAGACAAAUCACAAGAGAAUAUGCUUCAUCAUGCUCUCUUUCAGGUCCAGGGAAUGAAACUGCUCUCAACUUCUGGCCUGAAGAACAUUCCAGCAGUGAUUAGAGAUCCGAACCAUAAGUGCUGUAAUCUACUGGAACAAACUUACAAGUUAAGUGCUUCUGCUUUCAACAAAUUGUAUGCCCCUUUCUCUGACUUUGCCUCAAUAGUCACAAUAAGUAAGGAGCCUGAGCAACUCAGAAAUGAUGUAUGCAGAGAUUCCUUCGGGUUGAAAGAGACUUGCUUGAGUACUCGGGGACAGCCAUCAUCCUAUGCAGAGGCAGUGCGCAACUUGAGGCCGGAGGGUUUUCUUAUUUUUGAUUGGUGAGGCUUGCAAGAUAGUGGUUCUGCUGAUGGUUGAGCGGGAGCCAUGGUGAUGAUUUGUGAGAUGGGGUUGAGACUCUUCACUUGAAAUCAGCUAAUGAUUAUGAGCUGGGUAAGUAUGAUGGACAUACUGGUCUGUUGGCAUAUGAACAUGGGGAGUUUGGUAUGGAAAAUGAGCUUUGGUGCCAAUGGCAAGGCUGCUGUAUUCCAAAUUUGCUGUUAUACUCAUUUGCUAUAUUCCUAGGUUGCAGAACUGAUACUCAUUCAUAUGCAGCAUAUCUGCUGUGUUCCAAAUAUGCUGUUAUACAGUCAUACUCAUUCAGCCAUUCUUCAUUUACAUUACAUCAGAUGUUUGUGGUAAAUGCCGGUAAUGGGUUCAAGCUGCUUUGGAACUCAGCAAGUAGAUUUCUUGACCCUAGAACUACUGGAAAGAUACAUGUGUUGUAGGCAACAGAUAAUCGAAACAAGUUGGAAGUUGUACUUAAGGUCGAUCAAUCACCACCUGUUAGAAUAGUUCAAUUUGAAUAGAUAAUAUGAUAUUAAUCAUGUUAAAAACAUAAUAUUGCAACCUAGUGUUGGAACAGUAAACUUCCAGAUUUCCUUGGGCAUCGUGUCCCUGGAAGAACUCUAGUGAAUAACAUUUCUGCCACAAAUAUUGAUACUUAUUAUGAGCUUUUCUUGAUAGGAAACUUGUAUCAUUACUCAUAUAUAUGACU